UACGGAGGGGGCUAGCGUUGUUCGGAAUUACUGGGCGUAAAGGGCUCGUAGGCGGCCAACUAAGUCAUACGUGAAAUCCCUCAGCUUAACUGGGGAACUGCGUGUGAUACUGGAUGGCUUGGAUUUGGGAGAGGGAUGCGGAAUUCCAGGUGUAGCGGUGAAAUGCGUAGAUAUCUGGAGGAACACCGGUGGCGAAGGCGGGUCUCUGGGCCGAUACUGACGCUGAGGAGCGAAAGCGUGGGGAGCGAACAGG
rnacentral:rRNA from 1 species